rnacentral:rRNA from 1 species
GUUGUUGGAGACUACGACGUAGAUAGGCAGGGUGUGUAAGCGUAGCGAUACGUUGAGCUAACCUGUACUAAUUGCCCGUGAGGCUUAACCAU